CAUUGACACUUCUAAAGAUUGAAGAAGCUAUGUUUCUGGAAAAUUAAUUUCAUUGUAAUUAUAAGAGUAGGAAGGUGAUGGAGACAUUCAACUAAUUGUGGCAGUUGCCCAAUCAGCUCAACCCUUGGAAGGUGAUGCCAUGCGAGGAAAGCUUUUAACGGCUCUGCAGCUCAAAGGUUCUUUGGAAGAUUCAGUUUUAUGGAACAAUUUUUUAUCAAGAAUCCGAUCAUGAGUCUUUUUUUAUAGUUUUUUUUGGCACACUCUCUCUCCCUAGGCUUUGUAAAAGUUUCUCUCCUGAAUCUGAUCAUUUGGGUGGCUUAGAGUCCCUGUUGAGAGAAAAAAGAUUAUGGUUUAACAUUUGGAAGAACCUUUUGUCUUCUUUGUUUUGUAGUUGUGCCUUUGCUAAUUUAUUCUCAUCAUUGUUUCUUGCAUUUUGCUUUGGCAAUCUUGGAUUGUUAUGAACACGUUGAUGUUGCAUUACAUGUUUUCAAUUUGUUGGC